rnacentral:rRNA from 1 species
CCUACGGGAGGCAGCAGUGGGGAAUAUUGGACAAUGGGCGAAAGCCUGAUCCAGCCAUGCCGCGUGUGUGAAGAAGGCCUUCGGGUCGUAAAGCACUUUCAGUGGGGAAGAAAGCCUUGGGGCUAAUACCCUCGAGGAAGGACAUCACCCACAGAAGAAGCACCGGCUAACUCCGUGCCAGCAGCCGCGGUAAUACGGAGGGUGCGAGCGUUAAUCGGAAUUACUGGGCGUAAAGCGCGCGUAGGCGGUCUGAUAAGCCGGUUGUGAAAGCCCCGGGCUCAACCUGGGAACGGCAUCCGGAACUGUCAGGCUAGAGUGCAGGAGAGGAAGGUAGAAUUCCCGGUGUAGCGGUGAAAUGCGUAGAGAUCGGGAGGAAUACCAGUGGCGAAGGCGGCCUUCUGGACUGACACUGACGCUGAGGUGCGAAAGCGUGGGUAGCAAACAGGAUUAGAUACCCCGGUAGUC